GACAGUGCGGUGUAGUGGUUUUGACUGCUGGACUAUGACUCUGGAGACCAGGGUUCAAGUCCCUGCUCGGUUA